UACGUAGGGUGCAAGCGUUAAUCGGAAUUACUGGGCGUAAAGCGUGCGCAGGCGGUUGUGCAAGACAGAUGUGAAAUCCCCGGGCUCAACCUGGGAAUUGCAUUUGUGACUGCACGGCUAGAGUGUGUCAGAGGGGGGUAGAAUUCCACGUGUAGCAGUGAAAUGCGUAGAGAUGUGGAGGAAUACCGAUGGCGAAGGCAGCCCCCUGGGAUAACACUGACGCUCAUGCACGAAAGCGUGGGGAGCAAGCAGG
rnacentral:rRNA from 1 species